AUAAUGGGUCAGCGACUUAUAUUCUGUAGCAAGGUUAACCGAAUAGGGGAGCCGAAGGGAAACCGAGUCUUAACUGGGCGUUAAGUUGCAGGGUAUAGACCCGAAACCCGGUGAUCUAGCCAUGGGCAGGUUGAAGGUUGGGUAACACUAACUGGAGGACCGAACCGACUAAUGUUGAAAAAUUAGCGGAUGACUUGUGGCUGGGGGUGAAAGGCCAAUCAAACCGGGAGAUAGCUGGUUCUCCCCGAAAGCUAUUUAGGUAGCGCCUCGUGAAUUCAUCUCCGGGGGUAGAGCACUGUUUCGGCAAGGGGGUCAUCCCGACUUACCAACCCGAUGCAAACUGCGAAUACCGGAGAAUGUUAUCACGGGAGACACACGGCGGGUGCUAACGUCCGUCGUGAAGAGGGAAACAACCCAGACCGCCAGCUAAGGUCCCAAAGUCAUGGUUAAGUGGGAAACGAUGUGGGAAGGCCCAGACAGCCAGGAUGUUGGCUUAGAAGCAGCCAUCAUUUAAAGAAAGCGUAAUAGCUCACUGGUCGAGUCGGCCUGCGCGGAAGAUGUAACGGGGCUAAACCAUGCACCGAAGCUGCGGCAGCGACGCUUAUGCGUUGUUGGGUAGGGGAGCGUUCUGUAAGCCUGCGAAGGUGUGCUGUGAGGCAUGCUGGAGGUAUCAGAAGUGCGAAUGCUGACAUAAGUAACGAUAAAGCGGGUGAAAAGCCCGCUCGCCGGAAGACCAAGGGUUCCUGUCCAACGUUAAUCGGGGCAGGGUGAGUCGACCCCUAAGGCGAGGCCGAAAGGCGUAGUCGAUGGGAAACAGGUUAAUAUUCCUGUACUUGGUGUUACUGCGAAGGGGGGACGGAGAAGGCUAUGUUGGCCGGGCGACGGUUGUCCCGGUUUAAGCGUGUAGGCUGGUUUUCCAGGCAAAUCCGGAAAAUCAAGGCUGAGGCGUGAUGACGAGGCACUACGGUGCUGAAGCAACAAAUGCCCUGCUUCCAGGAAAAGCCUCUAAGCAUCAGGUAACAUCAAAUCGUACCCCAAACCGACACAGGUGGUCAGGUAGAGAAUACCAAGGCGCUUGAGAGAACUCGGGUGAAGGAACUAGGCAAAAUGGUGCCGUAACUUCGGGAGAAGGCACGCUGAUAUGUAGGUGAAGUCCCUCGCGGAUGGAGCUGAAAUCAGUCGAAGAUACCAGCUGGCUGCAACUGUUUAUUAAAAACACAGCACUGUGCAAACACGAAAGUGGACGUAUACGGUGUGACGCCUGCCCGGUGCCGGAAGGUUAAUUGAUGGGGUUAGCGCAAGCGAAGCUCUUGAUCGAAGCCCCGGUAAACGGCGGCCGUAACUAUAACGGUCCUAAGGUAGCGAAAUUCCUUGUCGGGUAAGUUCCGACCUGCACGAAUGGCGUAAUGAUGGCCAGGCUGUCUCCACCCGAGACUCAGUGAAAUUGAACUCGCUGUGAAGAUGCAGUGUACCCGCGGCAAGACGGAAAGACCCCGUGAACCUUUACUAUAGCUUGACACUGAACAUUGAGCCUUGAUGUGUAGGAUAGGUGGGAGGCUUUGAAGUGUGGACGCCAGUCUGCAUGGAGCCGACCUUGAAAUACCACCCUU
rnacentral:rRNA from 1 species